GCACCCUGGACGCCCUCAAUGGCCGCUCACGUCCCCGGCUCUCCGUCCACAGUAACGGCUCCAAAACCAAGGGUCCCGGGUCUC